rnacentral:rRNA from 1 species
GACGAACGCUGGCGGCGUGCUUAACACAUGCAAGUCGAACGGAAAGGCCCUGCUUUUGUGGGGUGCUCGAGUGGCGAACGGGUGAGUAACACGUGAGUAACCUGCCCUUGACUUUGGGAUAACUUCAGGAAACUGGGGCUAAUACCGGAUAGGAGCUCCUGCUGCAUGGUGGGGGUUGGAAAGUUUCGGCGGUUGGGGAUGGACUCGCGGCUUAUCAGCUUGUUGGUGGGGUAGUGGCUUACCAAGGCUUUGACGGGUAGCCGGCCUGAGAGGGUGACCGGCCAACUUGGGAAUGGGAUACCGCCCCGACUCCUUCCGGGGGGAAGAGGUGGGGAAUAUGGCACAAGGGGCGAAAGCCUAAUGCGGCACCCCGGGGUGCGGAAUAAGGCCUUUCGGGUGGUAACCCGCUUUGGCCUUUACCAAGGCGUGGGGACCGUUAUGGGUAAAGAAGCACCGGCUAACUACGUG